rnacentral:rRNA from 1 species
UACGUAGGGGGCAAGCGUUGUCCGGAAUCAUUGGGCGUAAAGCGCGUGUAGGCGGCCCGGUAAGUCCGCUGUGAAAGUCGGGGGCUCAACCCUCGAAUGCCGGUGGAUACUGUCGGGCUAGAGUGCGGAAGAGGCGAGUGGAAUUCCUGGUGUAGCGGUGGAAUGCGCAGAUAUCAGGAGGAACACCGAUGGCGAAGGCAGCUCGCUGGGACGGUACUGACGCUGAGGCGCGAAAGCGUGGGGAGCGAACAGG